rnacentral:rRNA from 1 species
UGGGGAAUUUUGGACAAUGGGGGAAACCCUGAUCCAGCCAUGCCGCGUGGGUGAAGAAGGCCUUCGGGUUGUAAAGCCCUUUCGGCGGGAAAGAAAUGGUCCGUGCCAAUACCACGGACUGAUGACGGUACCCGCCGAAGAAGCACCGGCUAACUACGUGCCAGCAGCCGCGGUAAUACGUAGGGUGCGAGCGUUAAUCGGAAUUACUGGGCGUAAAGCGUGCGCAGGUGGCCUUUUAAGCCAGAUGUGAAAUCCCCGGGCUUAACCUGGGAAUUGCAUUUGGGACUGGAAGGCUAGAGUGUGGCAGAGGGGGGUGGAAUUUCCGGUGUAGCAGUGAAAUGCGUAGAUAUCGGAAGGAACACCGAUGGCGAAGGCAGCCCCCUGGGCUAACACUGACGCUCAGGCACGAAAGCGUGGGGAGCAA